AUUGAACGCUGGCGGCAGGCUUAACACAUGCAAGUCGAGCGAGCGGCGGACGGGUGAGUAAUGUCUGGGAAACUGCCUGAUGGAGGGGGAUAACUACUGGAAACGGUAGCUAAUACCGCAUACCAUCAGAUGUGCCCAGAUGGGAUUAGCUAGUAGGAGGGGUAAUGGCUCACCUAGGCGACGAUCCCUAGCUGGUCUGAGAGGAUGAACAUCAACACUGGAACUGAGGCACGGUCCAGAAUCCUCGGGGAGGCAGCCGGGGGGAAUAUUGCACAAUGGGCACAAGCCUGAUGCAGCCAUGCCGAGGGUGUGAAGAAGGCCUUCGGGUUGUAAAGCACUUUCAGCGAGGAGGCGUUACUCGCAGAAGAAGCACCGGCUAACUCCGUGCCAGCAGCCGCGGUAAUUC
rnacentral:rRNA from 1 species